CAUGCACUGUACAUGAAAGCGCAAGGGUAAUCCAAAGUUUGUCUAAUGUCACUGUACAGCAGAGAUAGAGUGUAGCAGUGAGGUGAUGUUUGGCCUGAAAUCGAGUUUAAUUGUUGAUUUUAAGGCAAUUUUAUCUCUUUGAUAAGCUGCAGAUAUGGUUUUUAUCGCUCAUCACCUGCAGUAGUGAAAUUAGAGGCACAUGUACCACGAUUACAGCAGGUGCAUGAUGGCCUAAUGGUUUUGAAGGUAAGAUUUAGCAUUCUGCACCAAAUUGAACUCUUCCACAAAAUAUAAAGUUCCUGGCAUUUUCUGGACUGGUGAAGUUGAUCGUAUCUGUUGAAUGUCCCGGACAUUAUUUUAAAGAAAAACAGGAACUCAAAGUUAGGAAUACAAGAUUUGCAGUUCGAAUAAAGGAGGGCGCUGUUGUCGACUGAUAAAAGGCUUUCCUGAUAAAAGUCAUACUCGGUCAACGUGCGCCCACAUCCACCUCCAACCAUACCGAGCGUAGAAAAUAAUAGAAAAAAGAUGGAUCCAAGAGGAACUCCGCCAAACAAUGGGGAUGCUGCUCUCAAUCAAGACGAACAUGGAAGUCUAGAAGCCCCAGUGCAUGAUCCAAGAGAAACUCCGCCAAAAAAUGGGGAUGCUGCUCUCAAUCAAGACGAACAUGGACGUUUAGAAGCCCCAGUGCAUGAUCCAAGAGAAACUCCAAACAAUGAGGACGCUGCUGCUGAAGAAAAAGACAAAUUAAAGUCUUUGUGGCCAUUUUGGAAACGUUCAAAACCUGAUCCAAGAGAAACUCCAAACAAUGAGGACGCUGCUGCUGAAGAAGAAGGCAAAUUAAAGUCUUUGUGGCUAUUUGGGAAACGUUCAAAACCUGACCCAAAAUAUCUAUGCAUGAAUAGGCAUAAGCAUGAAAGAUAUCAAGAAGUUGUACAAUGUGAUUUAGACAAUCGGAAGGAAUGUAAAAUGGGACACGUACACCCAAACCAGGAAGAGGUCGUAGCAUGUGAAGAAAUUAUUGGAAGAGCUACCUUGGUGUCCGGGGUACAUGGAAUAUAUGCUGUUAAUCUGCUUUGGCCUGGUAGUUGUGAGAGGACUUUGAAUCAUCCGCCGUGCGCUAUUGUUGAUAUUACAGAAGAAGUAAAUUCAACGAGCCAAGUGUGAAGUAGGUUUGGCGUAUGGUUACCCAUUGGUGCAUGUUUUCAAAAAGGGAAAGUCUGUGUAUAGUAACUACAUUUCAUCGAAGAAACUCUUUUAUAAAUAUACUAUAUACUAUUAUAUCAGUGAAUUUUGUUAACAGUUAUUUUAGCAAAAUUUUAAAAAUAAAACAAACGUGAAAGUAAAACAAAGACUGAUGUCAUUUUGAGUCAAUACAUAUAUUUGAGCAUUAAUGAAAACUCGGAAACAUUAGGCAGUUUUUUUUUUCAGUAACUUGUUUCUCAACCUCCGCCGACCUCAAAAUGGCCAACAAAAGAAAGAAAAAUAAAAUUGAAACCAAAAAUAUUUUUAUUUCUUUAAGGGCAUCCGACUGAUCAUACCUGAUCAUACUGUUCAAGCGGAAUAAAAUAAACACGAAAACUCGGAGUGAAUCUUCCGUGUGUAUCAAUGGCCACACUCACAAGAGUGCAGCUGAGGCUUUAGAAUGUGACAAAAGGUCUUCAUCGAAAUGC